rnacentral:lncRNA from 1 species
AUGGGACCUUGCCAUAUGAAGUCCUGGCUAGGUUCCCAGGCCUGUCUUAGGGUCCUCUGCAGAGCUUCUGUAAGCCAGUGGGAGCUACUCUGCCACACGGCAUACUUGCCUUUCUGCUUCUUAGCCUGUUCCUUUGGUGCCAUAUGUGACAAGGCAGUUUGUGUGAGUUCUGGUGUUGUGAGAAACAGAGUGAACCAGAGACUAUGGUGGAAUCAAGGAGCUAUCAAAGGAAACGCAAGGAAAAGAGUACAGCAUAGACUGAAGGUACCAAGCUCACCACCAGACCAUGGCACUGUCUCCAGAGCAUGUUGGUUGGGUAAGUGCUCCUUCUGACCCCAGGUACCUCAGUGCUUGGAGAAGCAGCCCAGACUCUUCCUCCAUCUAAGCACAUCUCACAAUCAGAGAAACCUGUGAGGAGCAUGAACUGGAUCAUGUCACUGUCCUAAAUAAGUCUUUUGAUGGUUUUGUGUCCUGAUUCCUCCCUGGACUUGGGGCCUUGUACCAUUUGGCCAGCCUCUUUCUUUGUUUCCACCAUUAUAGAGCACUGAUUCACCUUUUCUGUUCCCACCUUCUUUUUGUAAAAUUUUAUUUUUUAUUGGUUAUUUUAUUUUACGUUUCAAAUGUCAUCCCCCUUCCUGGUCUCCCCUCUGUAAAUCCCUCAUCCCAUUGCCCCUCCCCUUUGCCUCUCUGAGGGUGCUCCUCCACCUACCCACCCACUCGUGCCUCACCACUCUAGCAUCCCCCUACUCAAGCCUCCACAGGACCAAGGGCCACCCCUCCUAUUGAUUGAUGCCAGAUAAGGCCAUCUGCUGGAACCAUGGAUCCCUCCAUGUAUUCUCUUUGGUUGGUAGUUUAGUCCCUGGGAGCUCGGGGGCGGGGGGUCCAGUUAAUUGAUAUUAGUGUUCUUCCAAUGGGGUUGCAAUCCCCUUGCACUCCUUCAUUCCUUCCCCUAGCUCUUCCACUGGGGUCUCCACCCUCAGUCCGUUGGUUGGCUGAGUAUCUGCGUCUGUAUUAGUCAGGUCCUGGCAGAGCCUCUCAGGGGACAGCUAUACCAGGCUCCUGUCAGCAAGCACUUCUUGGCAUCAGCAAUAGUGUCAAGGCUUGGUGUCUGCAGAUGGGAUGAUCCCUAGGUGGGGUGGUCUCAGGAUGACUUUUCCUUCAGUCUAUGCUGUACUCUUUUCCUUGCGUUUCCUUUAGACAGGAACAAUUCUGGGUUAAAAUUUUUGAGAUGGAUGGGUUGCCCCACCUCUCAACUGGGGGUGAGAGUGCCUUUCUACUGGAGGUGGUCUCUACAGGUUCUGUCUCCCCUUUGUUGGGUAUUUCAGCUAAUGUCAUCCCCAUUGGGUCCUUUUUUUUUUUUUUUUUUUCGGAGCUGGG